AAUAAGAUGCCUGAAUAAAGGGUUAAUUUGAUAGAUUAAAUAAUACAUGUUAUGUUCUUGUUG
rnacentral:tRNA from 1 species